rnacentral:rRNA from 1 species
UACGUAGGUGGCAAGCGUUGUCCGGAUUUAUUGGGCGUAAAGCGAGUGCAGGCGGUUCAAUAAGUCUGAUGUGAAAGCCUUCGGCUUAACCGGAGUAGUGCAUUGGAAACUGGGAGACUUGAGUGCAGAAGAGGAGAGUGGAACUCCAUGUGUAGCGGUGAAAUGCGUAGAUAUAUGGAAGAACACCAGUGGCGAAGGCGGCCUGCUGGACAUUAACUGACGCUGAGGCGCGAAAGCGUGGGGAGCAAACAGG